GCCCGGUUAGCUCAGUCGGUAGUGGGCCAUACUAGUGUUGAGGGGUCGUGGGUUCGAUCCCCACAUCGGGCA